rnacentral:misc_RNA from 1 species
GAAAUGCGAUAAGUAAUGUGAAUUGCAGAAUUCAGUGAAUCAUCGAAUCUUUGAACGCACCUUGCGCUCCUUGGUAUUCCUUGGAGCAUGCCUGUUUGAGUAUCAUGAAAUCUUCAAAGUAAAUCUUUUGUUAACUCAAUUGGUUUCUACUUUGGUAUUGGAGGUCUUUGCAGCUUCACACCUGCUCAUCUUUGUUCAUUAGCUGGAUCUCAGUGUUAUGCUUGGUUCCACUCGGCGUGAUAAGUUAUCUAUCGCUGAGGACACUGUAAAAGGUGGCCAAGGUAAAUGCAGAUGAACCGCUUCUAAUAGUCCAUUGACUUGGACAAUACUUUUAUGAUCUGAUCUCAAAUCAGGUAGGACUACCCGCUGAACUUAAGC